UAUCCUUAUUUGCCAGCACGUCAUGGUGGGAACUAUAAGGAGACUGCCGGUGAUAAACCGGAGGAAGGCGGGGACGACGUCAAGUCAUCAUGGCCCUUACGACCAGGGCUACACACGUGCUACAAUGGGAAGGACAAAGGGUUGCUAAGCCGCGAGGUGGUGCUAAUCUCAUAAACCUUUUCGUAGUCCGGAUCGGAGUCUGCAACUCGACUUCGUGAAGUCGGAAUCGCUAGUAAUCGCGAAUCAGCAUGUCGCGGUGAAUACGUUC
rnacentral:rRNA from 1 species